AUUGAACGCUGGCGGCAGGCCUAACACAUGCAAGUCGAGCGGAUGAAGGGAGCUUGCUCCUGGAUUCAGCGGCGGACGGGUGAGUAAUGCCGAGGAAUCUGCCUGGUAGUGGGGGAUAACGUCCGGAAACGGGCGCUAAUACCGCAUACGUCCUGAGGGAGAAAGUGGGGGAUCUUCGGACCUCACGCUAUCAGAUGAGCCUAGGUCGGAUUAGCUAGUUGGUGGGGUAAAGGCCUACCAAGGCGACGAUCCGUAACUGGUCUGAGAGGAUGAUCAGUCACACUGGAACUGAGACACGGUCCAGACUCCUACGGGAGGCAGCAGUGGGGAAUAUUGGACAAUGGGCGAAAGCCUGAUCCAGCCAUGCCGCGUGUGUGAAGAAGGUCUUCGGAUUGUAAAGCACUUUAAGUUGGGAGGAAGGGCAGUAAGUUAAUACCUUGCUGUUUUGACGUUACCAACAGAAUAAGCACCGGCUAACUUCGUG
rnacentral:rRNA from 1 species